rnacentral:rRNA from 1 species
GAUGAACGCUGGCGGCGUGCUUAACACAUGCAAGUCGAACGAAGCGAUGCGACGGAAGCCUUCGGGUGGAAGAUGCAUUGACUGAGUGGCGGACGGGUGAGUAACGCGUGGGUAACCUGCCUUACACAGGGGGAUAACAGUUAGAAAUGACUGCUAAUACCGCAUAACCCGCUAGUACCGCAUGGUACAGACGGAAAAGAUUUAUCGGUGUAAGAUGGACCCGCGUCUGAUUAGCUAGUUGGUAGGGUAAUGGCCUACCAAGGCGACGAUCAGUAGCCGGCUUGAGAGAGUGAUCGGCCACAUUGGGACUGAGACACGGCCCAAACUCCUACGGGAGGCAGCAGUGGGGAAUAUUGCACAAUGGGGGAAACCCUGAUGCAGCAACGCCGCGUGAGUGAAGAAGUAUUUCGGUAUGUAAAGCUCUAUCAGCAGGGAAGAAAAUGACGGUACCUGACUAAGAAGCCCCGGCUAACUACGUGCCAGCAGCCGCGGUAACAC